CAGCAUGUUUCCAAGGGCUGUGGCUUGUGGUAGCCAUGGGGUCUCCAACUGCAUGCCAGAGUUGCAUGGAGAGACUUUGACAGCCCUGGCCAGCACAGUGCCUGCAGCUGCCACUCGACUUUCCUAUAUAU